rnacentral:lncRNA from 1 species
GUACCCACAAUAGAUGACUAUCAUUAAGAAACAUUUAUGUGGAGUAUUUGGCCAGUCCUUGUACUGAACAGCCUCACAGUUUGGUGAGAGAAAACAAAUCUGGAUAUGACAGUGUCAGAAACGGAUCUUCAAUCCAGUACUCCCUUCUCCUAUUCUUGUUUUUUAUUAGUGUACAUGCCAACAUUCCAGUCAUCUAAUCUUGAUUUCCUAGUCUAACUUCUGAUAAUAAACAUUGCUAUUCCAUGUUCCAUAAUUUGCUAGAAAUUGGAAAUUUUGCUUCUGUACUGCAGCUUGUAUUUAUCCCCUUACACACAUCUUCAUUGAUCCCUUUAUGCACAAGCUUGACCUUUGUUAAGUUUUCUGUCAGUUAUUGUAAUAAUUCCAAAUUGGUCCCUUCCCCAGGGAUUCUCUAUCACAUCUAUUCAAAACAUUUACCAUUCUGA